CGCAUCUGUGCAUGCAGCAUAUCAAUAAGCGGAGGAAAAGAAACUAACAAGGAUUCCCCUAGUAACGGCGAGUGAAGCGGGAAGAGCUCAAAUUUGAAAUCUUAAAGGGUUUCCCUUUACGAAUUGUAGUUUAAAGAAGUGUUUUCUGUUGAGGUUUUGGUAAAAGUUCUUUGGAAUAGGACAUCAUAGAGGGUGAGAAUCCCGUAUUUGACCUUUACUUUCAACUUUGUGAUACACUUUCAAAGAGUCGGAUUGUUUGGGAAUGCAGUCCAAAUGGGUGGUAAAUUUCAUCUAAAGCUAAAUAUUGGCGAGAGACCGAUAGCGAACAAGUACCGUGAGGGAAAGAUGAAAAGAACUUUGAAAAGAGAGUUAAACAGUACGUGAAAUUGUCAAAAGGGAAGCGUUUGACACCAGUGUUGUUUUUCUGAAAAUCAAUUAAAGAACUGUUUAUGCUAAGCUGUUUAGACUUUAUCAGCUAAUCUGUUUAGUUUUGAGCUUUUCUUUAAUGCACUUUUCAGUUAACAAGUCAACAUCAAUUUCUUUUGCUGUAAAAAAGCUUGAGGAAGGUGGCCUGAGAUUCGUCUUAAGUGUUUAUAGCCUCUUGCCUAUGCAGUCGGAGAGAUUGAGGUCUGCAGCGUAGAUCCUUCGGGGCUAAAUGCAUUUGUGCUAAGUUAUAGCAUUUUAUAGACAACUUGUUGACUAUGAUUUGUCUUGUAGCUUACUCGCUUAUGUUAUUUUACCUACGCUUAGGAUGUUGAAUCUGUGCGAGACUAC
rnacentral:rRNA from 1 species